rnacentral:misc_RNA from 1 species
ACUAUAGGGUUGACGUUUCUUUCCCCAGCUGAUUUCUUCUCCCCUUUUUGUUGCUUUGCUACUUCCUGUGAGACGAUUCCAUUCACAUGUUUGCUGAUUUUCUUCUUACUCAUAGCUAAUAGUGAAUUUAUUUUUACCUUUCACUUGCAAGUACCCAUCAACUGAUUAAAUUUCUCAUGUUUUGAGUACCAUGAUUUGAUGGGUAAUAGUCAAUUUACUAUUGCCUUCAAGCAUGCUUUCAAUGCAAUGAUUGUUGGAGUGCCCAUAUUUUUGUACAGUUCUUAAUUUCUUAUAGUUAGAGCUGAUUUUUUUUUUUGUUUAUUCUUUGCAUUUGCCUUCCAUUGAAAUGCAGCUGUGGUUCUUUCUCCAUUUUAGCAGGCUCAUUGAGCAAAAUAGCGUUGUUCUUUUCUUAUGAGUGUCGUUUUGAGAUUAUGACAGUGUUUAAACAUGUUGCAUGUCGAUCUAGAGGAGGGAGCUGUCUUCUCCGAUUUUUAUUUGGCGUCCUCUCAAUCAACUUGCUAAACUUCAGCUGAAAGCAUGAAGUCUCCUUUCCAAUGAAGACUGAUUCUUCCUUUUGG